CGCGUGUACUGGUCCGGCCGGGCCUUUCCCUCUGUGGAACCCCAUGCCCUUCACUGGGUGUGGCGGGGAAACAGGACUUUUACUGUGAAAAAAUUAGAGUGCUCCAGGCAGGCCUAUGCUCGAAUACAUUAGCAUGGAAUAAUAGAAUAGGACGUGUGGUUCUAUUUUGUUGGUUUCUAGGACCGCCGUAAUGAUUAAUAGGGACAGUCGGGGGCAUCAGUAUUCAAUUGUCAGAGGUGAAAUUCUUGGGAUUUAUUGAAGACUAACUACUGCGAAAGCAUUUGCCAAGGAUGUUUUCAUUAAUCAGGAACGAAAGUUAGGGGAUCGAAGACGAUCAGAUACCGUCGUAGUCUUAACCAUAAACUAUGCCGACUAGGGAUCGGACGGUGUUAUAUUUUGACCCGUUCGGCACCUUACGAGAAAUCAAAGUGCUUGGGGCUCCAGGGGGAGUAUGGUCGCAUGGGCUGAAACUUAAAGAAAUUGACGGAAGGGCACCACCAGGGGUGGAGCCUGCGGCUUAAUUUGACUCAACACGGGGAAACUCACCAGGUCCAGACACAAUGAGGAUUGACAGAUUGAGAGCUCUUUCUUGAUUUUGUGGGUGGUGGUGCAUGGCCGUUCUUAGUUGGUGGAGUGAUUUGUCUGCUUAAUUGCGAUAACGAACGAGACCUUAACCUGCUAAAUAGCCCGUAUUGCUUUGGCAGUACGCUGGCUUCUUAGAGGGACUAUCGG
rnacentral:rRNA from 1 species